AUCUAUUCAGAUCAUAGGCAUGAUGAUUGGGUAGUCACACCACACACCACAGUGUGAUGUGUGCCUCGCACAACCACCUUACACUGCCAACACAUUACCCUUCUGGCA